rnacentral:rRNA from 1 species
AACGAACGCUGGCGGCAUGCCUAACACAUGCAAGUCGAACGAGACCUUCGGGUCUAGUGGCGCACGGGUGCGUAACGCGUGGGAACCUGCAUGUAGGUUCGGAAUAACUCAGAGAAAUUUGAGCUAAUAACGGAUGGUCUCUUCGGACCAAAGAUUUCUCGCCUUUAGAUGGGCGCGGGUUGGAUUAGUCAGUUGGUGGUGUAAAGGCAUAUCAAGGCGUCGAUGCAUAGCUGGUCUGAGAGGAGGACCAGUCACACUGGGACUGAGACACGGCCCAGACUCCGACGCGACGGAGCAGUGGGGAAUAUUGUGCAAGGGGCGAAAGCCUGAUACAGCAACGCGGGGUAAGUGAUGAAGGGCUUAGGGUUGUAAAGCCCUUUUACCCGAGAUGAUAAUGACGGUAUCGGGAGAAUAAGCUCCGGCUAACUACGUG